rnacentral:rRNA from 1 species
UACGUAGGGUGCGAGCGUUGUCCGGAUUUAUUGGGCGUAAAGAGCUCGUAGGCGGUCUGUCGCGUCUGCUGUGAAAACUCGGGGCUUAACCCCGGGCCUGCAGUGGGUACGGGCAGACUAGAGUGCGGUAGGGGAGACUGGAAUUCCUGGUGUAGCGGUGAAAUGCGCAGAUAUCAGGAGGAACACCGGUGGCGAAGGCGGGUCUCUGGGCCGUAACUGGACGCUGGAGGAGCGAAAGCGUGGGGAGCGAACAGG